AACCACGUUUUAAUCAAGCCUCCAUCCAGAGAAUUCACCAACAACAUAUUUUUAUUCAAACUAUACAUAUACUCAUCCACUCAAUGAACAACUAUGCUAAUCCACUUCAUUGUAAUAAUUGGAUAUCAACAUAAACCCACGACUAGUACUCAACCUGUCAGCAAUAUACUCAUUUAUCUAAUUAUUCAUUUAUUUUAUUUUAUUUUUACAAUUUUUAUAACUCACAAACAAUCAUCCGGUUUCUUUCUAAGGUUAAAGGGUACAUAUAAAAACAAUCCAGUUUUAACUCAUCCUUAAACUCACCCUUCUAAAUUUUAGAGAAAUAGUCCCAAUAUCCCCCUCAUUCAUGUCUAUCAUAACAACACUACUCAGAAACUGAAAACAAGUUGCAGAGUAACUUCUCCAACACAUUAGUCACGAAAAAUCCAACAACUACGGCAUACGGGAUUUGAAUCCCAACGAGAAGCAAGCAACAACAUAGGCACAAACAACAGGGGAAAAGAACAAAAAAUUAAGGCUUAAUUAGUAAGAUGGUCCCUUAAAGACAUUUUUGGUUUCACAUUAGUCCCUUAAAGAAAAAAAAGGUCCGAAUAGGUCCCUUAAAGAAAAAAAGGUCCGAAUAGGUCCCUUAAAGACAUCUCCGUUAAUUAGUUUGGUCCCUUAAAGACAUCUCCGUUAAUCAGUUUGGUUCUCGAAAAAAUGGAUGAAAAUGACCAAACUGAUUAACGGAAAUGUCUUUAAGGGACCUAUUCGAACCUUUUUUUCUUUAAGGGACCUAUUCGAACCUUUUUUUCUUUAAGGGACUAAUGUGAAACCAAAAAUGUCUUUAAGGGACUAUUUUAUUAAUUAAGCCAAAAAUUAAAGUUUGAUUUUUAAGUUCCGAACAAUUCCGAAACAAUCCCAAAUUAAUCCAAUAUAAUUUCCUAUGAUUACUAGUCAAUUAGGGGCUAAUUUUUGUGAUUGAAGAACACUUAAUUUUCUGAUUUUAAUCUUUGAUUUGAGGUUUCAAUUUUAUUUUUAUUGUUAUUUUCAUUUUUAUUUUUACAAGAACAUAAACACCCAAGUUUCAAAAUAGACAUCACCUAACGCUCUAUUAUUCAAAAGAACUUAGGCUAAUUACUAAUUCAUUCACCUACUAAUUUUAUACAAAAAGUGAUUAAGUUUCAUUUUAUCAAACACUAACUGUUCUAAUAAAAAGUCACUCAAAAACCUUCGCCAUCCCUAACUCACAAGUUGUUAAUUGCUCAAAUUAUUUCAACUAACUAUUUUCUAAUAUAAGACCAUCACAUACACAUUUUCUAUCAAAUUUGUAGCAUGUACCGUAAGUAACUUUGUACUACAAUUUCACUAAACUAUCACUACACUCAAUAAGUGACAUCAACUAGUUAUUAAGUACAUAUUAGAUAACCAACUUCCUUUGACUAACCUUAUAGAUCAUCACUUUCUCAAAAGUAAACCAUUUAAAACACCACCCAAAGACUAAACAUGGCAUUCACGCCACCAGCAAUGUAAUAACAAUAUAUAUCAUCAUAGUGUUAAAGCUUGAUAUUUUAGUUUCAAGCAACCCCAGAAAACAGCCCCAAAAUUAAUCUAAUAUUAAUUUUCUAUGAUUACCAUUCAAUUAGGAACUAAUUUUGUGAUGGAUUAACACUUAAUUUAUGAUUCUAAUCCCAGCUGGUUAGAAUUUCUGAUUUCUCUGCUCAAUUUUCAACCCAAAAUAUACACACUCAAAACAUAAAUGCAUGACCCAAUAUUCCAAAGCAAAUAUCAGAAUGUAAAUGCACAAUUAUAGCAGAUUAAGGCAAAACGAAAUUGCACUUCAAAGUACAAAAUCACCAAACAGAAAUCAAAAAGAAGAAAUUAAAGAAAGCAUAAAACCUAUUCUGAUUCACCCAAUUAUUAAACAUAAGUCUUCCCCUAACCUUAAGUUUUGAUGAAUUCUUUCUUUGAUCCUAGCUGCUGAAAUCCUUUCUUCUCCUUCCUAUGGGCGGCUGCCUCUACCUCUUCUCUACCUCAAUUUUUCUGAUUUUCUUUCUAAGUUAGAAAACUAGGUUAAUCCCAAGUUUACUUAAACUAGUUUUAACAUAAUUCUUAUUCUUUGGGCUUCCUACCCGCACCCGUCUUUUACUUCGUGCUAUCACAACCAAAGUCCACUUACUACUUUUCUAUUAUUACUA
rnacentral:lncRNA from 1 species